rnacentral:sRNA from 55 species
UAUCUCUCCGUACGGGGAAGGAUGAGAAGCUUCGAAUAAGGUUCGAUUCGAGCGAAAGCGAGAAAGCGUUGCCGCAGGCAACGACCCGAAGGGCGAAGCGCGCAGCGCUGAGUAAUCCUUCCCCCACCACCA